rnacentral:rRNA from 1 species
UAGAGUUUGAUCCUGGCUCAGGAUGAACGCUAGCGGCAGGCCUAAUACAUGCAAGUCGAACGAUAUUUUCCAGCUUGCUGGAAGAGAAAGUGGCGCACGGGUGCGUAACGCGUAUGCAACCUACCUUUAUCAGGGGGAUAGCCCGGAGAAAUCCGGAUUAAUACCGCAUAAAAUCACAGAAUAGCAUUAUUUAAUGAUCAAACAUUUAUGGGAUAAAGAUGGGCAUGCGUGUCAUUAGCUAGUUGGCGGGGUAACGGCCCACCAAGGCGACGAUGACUAGGGGAUCUGAGAGGAUGACCCCCCACACUGGUACUGAGACACGGACCAGACUCCUACGGGAGGCAGCAGUAAGGAAUAUUGGUCAAUGGAGGCAACUCUGAACCAGCCAUGCCGCGUGCAGGAAGACUGCCCUAUGGGUUGUAAACUGCUCUUAUCCGGGAAUAAACCUCUGCUCGUGAGCAGAGCUGAAUGUACCGGAAGAAUAAGGAUCGGCUAACUCCGUGCCAGCAGCCGCGGUAAUACGGAGGAUCCAAGCGUUAUCCGGAUUUAUUGGGUUUAAAGGGUGCGUAGGCGGCCUGUUAAGUCAGGGGUGAAAGACGGUAGCUCAACUAUCGCAGUGCCCUUGAUACUGAUGGGCUUGAAUGGACUAGAGGUAGGCGGAAUGAGACAAGUAGCGGUGAAAUGCAUAGAUAUGUCUCAGAACACCGAUUGCGAAGGCAGCUUACUAUGGUCUUAUUGACGCUGAGGCACGAAAGCGUGGGGAUCAAACAGGAUUAGAUACCCUGGUAGUCCACGCCCUAAACGAUGAACACUCGCUGUUGGCGAUACACAGUCAGCGGCUAAGCGAAAGCGUUAAGUGUUCCACCUGGGGAGUACGCCCGCAAGGGUGAAACUCAAAGGAAUUGACGGGGGCCCGCACAAGCGGAGGAGCAUGUGGUUUAAUUCGAUGAUACGCGAGGAACCUUACCCGGGCUUGAAAGUUAGUGAAUGAUCUAGAGAUAGAUCAGUGAGCAAUCACACGAAACUAGGUGCUGCAUGGCUGUCGUCAGCUCGUGCCGUGAGGUGUUGGGUUAAGUCCCGCAACGAGCGCAACCCCUAUGUUUAGUUGCCAGCAUGUAAAGGUGGGGACUCUAAACAGACUGCCUGUGCAAACAGAGAGGAAGGAGGGGACGACGUCAAGUCAUCAUGGCCCUUACGUCCGGGGCUACACACGUGCUACAAUGGACGGUACAGAGGGCAGCUACAUAGCAAUAUGAUGCGAAUCUCACAAAGCCGUUCACAGUUCGGAUUGGGGUCUGCAACUCGACCCCAUGAAGUUGGAUUCGCUAGUAAUCGCGUAUCAGCAAUGACGCGGUGAAUACGUUCCCGGGCCUUGUACACACCGCCCGUCAAGCCAUGGAAGUUGGGGGUACCUAAAGUAUGUAACCGCAAGGAGCGUCCUAGGGUAAAACCGAUAACUGGGGCUAAGUCGUAACAAGGUAGCCGUACCGGAAGGUGCGGCUGGAUCACCUCCUUA